AGGAACAUGGGUGACAUUUGGAGCACAGAUCACAGAUGAGAUGGCGGAGGAAAUGGUGACGUUGGCCUAUGACAGUGGAAUAAAUGUUUUCGAUACUGCUGAGGUGUAUGCCGGUGGAAAAGCGGAAAUAGUGCUUGGUAAAAUAUUGAAGAAAAAAAGU